CGUGUUUCCUGUGUGUAUGUACCCAAAGUUGUUGGUUUGUUUGUAAGAUUCAGGUGUGUGAUUACCUUAGUAUAUAUACAUAGUGUAAUCUGCUAGAAUGGUGGAGUCUAGUGGGUUAGUGUAGUGGAAUACCUGUGUGUAUUCAAUUAAGGUAGUGUGUUUCCGGUCAUUUUUCAAACUAAAAAAUUUCUUCGUUUUUUUACGCUCUCUUCAAGCUCCGCCACAGCUAUUAACCUUGUCUAUCUGAGCUCUAACCAUCUUGCUAAACAAUGAAUCCAACUGAUUUAUUUCCAUGUAGAUAUUUUACAUGUAUAAUUUUACUCAGACCUUCUGUGAACUACUGAAUCUAACCAAAUAAACGGAGAACGUGUCCAUUUGACACAAAUAAUG
rnacentral:lncRNA from 1 species